ACCUGGAAGUGUGUAUCCACUACCAUGUUCAAGGACCUAGGUUCAAGGCCCAGGUCCCUGCCUGACUCGGGUAAAUUUUAUGAGCAGUGAAGCAGUGUUCCAGACUUAUUGAAACUGUCUGUCCACCUACCUGCAGGACUCUCUUGGGAUGUUCUUUGCUUAG